AUUCGAGAUUUUGUUCGUAACUGAAAAUUGGAUUAAUACAGGAUUACUAUUUGGACAAAAUGUCUAUUUAUACGUAAAACGUAACUCGGGAGGUUUUCUUUAUACAGUAAGUGUUUAUAUUUGUUAUUACAUCUCAUAUUUCGCCACGAAAUAAUUAAUUCCAUGAUAGCGACCGCAGCCGCCCAUAUUCCGAAAUGCUACGAAUUUGGUUCACAACUGGUGGUGUUGUUCGAGGCCAGAAUACGCUUGUUUUGAUGGCGAUUUUGCACGUUUCUUUGGUUGUUAUGACAAGUACACAUCUUCCGAUUGAUGUAUAUCCUGUUUCCGAACUUGAACGACUACAAAAAGACUUUUUUUGAGGCAAGUGAAACUUUGAAUACUUUUUAUUUUGCCCCAAAAAGGGCGAUUUCACUGAGAUAUUGAUAAAUAUCUAUAGUAAUAUAAUAAAACAGCAUAAAUAUAUAUUUUUUUGUAAUUUUAAAACCCUAACAAGUUAGUUUAAUUUGACAUCGAAAAUAUUUCGCAAAAGUGAAAAUACAGAACUUCACAGCAGGGACACAUUUUCAUAAAAUUAAACGAAAUUUGUAGUCUCUGUGUGUCUAUGGAGAAACCUGAAAUGGAAACGGAGUGGGAGAGUACACUAUGGUUAUGAGACAAUUUUCAGUAGAUUCAAUUAUACUUCAAGCUUGAUGCUGUUAUGUGACAGAACCUGGAACAGAAAUGAAGUGUGUGACAAUAAUUCAUUGACAAAUUUAGACUAAUACUCUUUCAUGGAUGCUGAAUUUGGUAGAUCUGGCCAUAAAAUUUUAUUAUAAUUCAAAGUGGUAUAUACAGUGUAGUUAUAUUUAUAAUAAUUCAUUGUUUGAAUUUGUCUUUAUACAGCACUUUAUUGAACCAAAAUAAUCAUAGCUGCAUUUAGUAAAUUAUUUAGCACAUGUGUGACUGCUGUCUCGUACCUUCAGUGUUUUAGCUGCUAAAAUAUGUUUUGGAGAUAUUUUUCCUGGAUAGAAAUUUACCUUUCUGAUAUUUUAUGAGUGUUUAGACAUUCCUUUCAAAGGUGAAAUAUGGCUACUUACAUUGCUUUGUUUCUAAUAUAAUAACACUGAAGGUGUAAAGUAUGUAAAUAGUUACGUAAGAAAUUGAUUAAACAUAUUGGCCAAGCAUUGGCAUUUGUCGUGUGAUAGGUUUUUACUGGUUUGAGUUAAAAGACCAGUACAGAUGAUAAGUUCUAUUGCAUCUUUUAUUGAAAUCUUCAAGUAUUCAAUAUUAUUAUGAGUCUAGGUAAAUAUAUAUCUUCAAUUUUUUUUGAUAUUUUGAAACAAGAAGCUUAUUUUUCAUGUAACGUGUAUCCACUUUCCAUCUGCAAUCUAAACCUUUACGUUUUCCUUUUUAUUAUUGGUCUGGAUGUACAUUAUUGUAUAAGCGUAAAUAAAUGUGAACUGAAAAUGUUAUUCUGAUGUAACAUUUGCAUAAAUUAUUAUGUCAUUAAAUUACGUAUUCCAAGA